UUUUAUUUAGCAUUACGUGGUGAAACAUUUAGCUCUUCAUUUUACUUCUGUGACGAGACAAGACGAGUGUCUCUCUCUCUAUCUGUGUGUGUGUAUGGUACACGUUAGUUUUUUGGGUGAUCUUCGUGUGCACCACGUGACCACAGGAGUAUUUAAAUAAAGGGCGGCAUCUUCGAACAGAUGCGGUCGAGUCGAGCGGAUUUUCUCUUUAUAUGAAGCGUCGGAAUCACUGGAGAUCUACAAAUCCUUGCUGAUCAUGAAGAACCGGUCGUCUUUACCAUGGCUGGUGCUUUCUGUACUCUUCGCUGCGAUACCUCCAGCAAAACCAGGCCCCUGUCCAACAUGUGAAUCUGGCUAUGGCAGGGUCUCUGGAAGCUGCAAGUGCAAGCCAUGCACAGCAGAGUAUUUCUGGUCUCUGAGGAAUGGACAGGGCAAUUGUUAUAAGUGUACAACAUCUUGUACUGCUAAGAAAAACCUGAUCCAAGUACACCCCUGCAAUCAGACAACUGACCGUAGGUGCCAGUGCAAACCCGGCUACUACUGCCCAAGUCCAGUGAACUUGACCUGCAGAAGGGACUGUGAGCCGUGCACCAAUGGCUUCACCAGCACAUCUAAUCUACAGACAUCCUGUCAGCAGUUCACUGACUGUGCCAGUUUAGGGAAGGUGGUGAUUAAAGAAGGAUCGCCAACUGCGGACCGUGUGUGUGGACAUCCGACAACUCACAAGAUCCACAGCAUCCAAGCAGUCAAUCGGCCCAUCUCUCAAAACCAGGUCUCUCAGAACCUGGACAGGUCUUUAUCCUUUGAGACGACAGCUCCUUCAGGCGUGAGUGCCGACUUCAGAAUGACUCGAGAAACCAAGGGCCCUGUUCCACCAUCUGAGCCCCUUUUGAAGACCACUUGGAUCUUUUUGCUUCUGCUGCUUGUGUCCCUGUGUCUGGUGACAUGCGUGUCCUUAAAGUGCAAAAGUGGAGCCAUCAAGAACAAACUCGAGUGGGCAGGUCUGGCAUUUGAAAGAUACCAGCCCGUGUUGUCCACAGCCCACCCCAACCCGCCCGUCGAUAUUGUGGUUCCUGUGAGCGAUGUCACCGACACUGUUAGAGAAGUCCAGGGUCAGGGGUCAUUCCCUGGGAAAAAUCAGAAGGUCACCAUGGAGCACGUCGGGAAAGCGGAUGGCAUCAACAACACUGUUGGGUCUAUUUUCAUCUACUCCCCCGGGAUGGUGAUCCUCGGCUCGAACUCGAACGAGAAAAAAGAGGAGGCGGAGACGGGCACAGAAGACAUCGGCGAAGACACCUGUCUCAUGAGCGUGCCUCAGCAGGAAUCCAGCUCCGAAGAAGACUUCGUCAGAAUGGCUACACAGGAAGAGUUUGGCAAGGAGCUGAGCAUUCCAGUUCCGGCCACGAGCAAAUGAAAUGUCCGGGCCUGAACACAGACGUCGGCUCAAGCAAAGGAAUAUAUGAACCAGGAUGGGGCCUUACAAGUCACGGAGCCUCUUUGCUGGCCCGUGAAGUGUAGAAAACUUGUCCUGUUUCAGCAGCGAGGCUGUGAAUAGGGCUGAGUUUGUUUGUAUAGCACUGUGACUUUCAGGGUUUUUUCUUUCUCAGUGUGGGAGGCUGUGCGAAGACAGUGACGGAAUAAGAAAAACUCCCAGGUUGCUAUAGUGAUA
ensembl:lncRNA